rnacentral:rRNA from 1 species
UGAAACCGUGGCUUCUGGAGCUAACGCGUUAAAUCGACCGCCUGGGGAGUACGGCCGCAAGGUUAAAACUCAAAUGAAUUGACGGGGGCCCGCACAAGCGGUGGAGCAUGUGGUUUAAUUCGAUGCAACGCGAAGAACCUUACCUACUCUUGACAUCCAGCGAAUCCUUUAGAGAUAGAGGAGUGCCUUCGGGAACGCUGAGACAGGUGCUGCAUGGCUGUCGUCAGCUCGUGUUGUGAAAUGUUGGGUUAAGUCCCGCAACGAGCGCAACCCUUAUCCUUUGUUGCCAGCACGUAAUGGUGGGAACUCAAAGGAGACUGCCGGUGAUAAACCGGAGGAAGGUGGGGAUGACGUCAAGUCAUCAUGGCCCUUACGAGUAGGGCUACACACGUGCUACAAUGGCAGAUACAAAGAGAAGCGACCUCGCGAGAGCAAGCGGAACUCAUAAAGUCUGUCGUAGUCCGGAUUGGAGUCUGCAACUCGACUCCAUGAAGUCGGAAUCGCUAGUAAUCGUAGAUCAGAAUGCUACGGUGAAUACGUUCCCGGGCCUUGUACACACCGCCCGUCACACCAUGGGAGUGGGUUGCAAAAGAAGUAGGUAGCUUAACCUU